GACGAACGCUGGCGGCGUGCUUAACACAUGCAAGUCGAACGGAAAGGCCCAGCCUGCUGGGUGCUCGAGUGGCGAACGGGUGAGUAACACGUGGGUGAUCUGCCUCUAACUUCGGGAUAAGCUUGGGAAACUGGGUCUAAUACCGGAUAGGACAAUCGUUUAGUGUCGGUUGUGGAAAGUUUUUUCGGUUAGGGAUGAGCCCGCGGCCUAUCAGCUUGUUGGUGGGGUAAUGGCCUACCAAGGCGUCGACGGGUAGCCGGCCUGAGAGGGUGGACGGCCACAUUGGGACUGAGAUACGGCCCAGACUCCUACGGGAGGCAGCAGUGGGGAAUAUUGCACAAUGGGCGCAAGCCUGAUGCAGCGACGCCGCGUGGGGGAUGACGGCCUUCGGGUUGUAAACCUCUUUCGACAGGGACGAAGCUUUGGUGACGGUACCUGUAUAAGAAGCACCGGCUAACUACGUG
rnacentral:rRNA from 1 species